rnacentral:rRNA from 1 species
GACGAACGCUGGCGGCGUGCUUAACACAUGCAAGUCGAACGGAAAGGCCCUGCUUUUGUGGGGUGCUCGAGUGGCGAACGGGUGAGUAACACGUGAGUAACCUGCCCUUGACUUUGGGAUAACUUCAGGAAACUGGGGCUAAUACCGGAUAGGAGCUCCUGCUGCAUGGUGGGGGUUGGAAAGUUUCGGCGGUUGGGGAUGGACUCGCGGCUUAUCAGCUUGUUGGGGGGGUAGUGGCUUACCAAGGCUUUGACGGGUAGCCGGCCUGAGAGGGGGACCGGCCACAUUGGGACUGCGAUACGGCCCAGACUCCUACGGGAGGCAGCAGUGGGGAAUCUUGCACAAUGGGCGGACGCCUGAUGCAGAAACGCCGCGUGCGGGAUGACGGCCUUCGGGUUGUAAACCGCUUUCGCCUGUGACGAAGCGUGAGUGACGGUAAUGGGUAAAGAAGCACCGGCUAACUACGUG